rnacentral:rRNA from 1 species
UGGGGAAUUUUGGACAAUGGGCGAAAGCCUGAUCCAGCAAUGCCGCGUGUGUGAAGAAGGCCUUCGGGUUGUAAAGCACUUUUGUCCGGAAAGAAAUCCUUGGCUCUAAUACAGUCGGGGGAUGACGGUACCGGAAGAAUAAGCACCGGCUAACUACGUGCCAGCAGCCGCGGUAAUACGUAGGGUGCAAGCGUUAAUCGGAAUUACUGGGCGUAAAGCGUGCGCAGGCGGUUUGCUAAGACCGAUGUGAAAUCCCCGGGCUCAACCUGGGAACUGCAUUGGUGACUGGCAGGCUAGAGUAUGGCAGAGGGGGGUAGAAUUCCACGUGUAGCAGUGAGAUGCGUAGAGAUGUAGAGGAAUACCGAUGGCGAAGGCAGCCCCCUGGGCCAAUACUGACGCUCAUGCACGAAAGCGUGGGGAGCAAACAGGAUUAGAUACCCUGGUAGUCCACGCCCUAAAACGAUGUCAACUAGUUGUUGGGGAUUCAUUUCCUUAGUAACGUAGCUAACGCGUGAAGUUGACCGCCUGGGGAGUACGGUCGCAAGAUUAAAACUCAAAUGAAUUGACGGGGUCAUAGCUGUUUCCU